rnacentral:misc_RNA from 1 species
GAGUUCAUCCGACUCCCAAACCCCUGUGAACAUACCGCACGUUGCUUCGGCGGAGCGCCCCGGCGCCCCACCCCCCAGGGGGCGGCGGCCCGGACCCAAGGCGCCCGCCGGGGGACCCAAACACUGCAUUCGCCGCCGGCGGAAUCUACGUCUGAGUGAUUUACAAAUGAAUCAAAACUUUCAACAACGGAUCUCUUGGCUCU